rnacentral:lncRNA from 1 species
AUGAUUUAGAAAUUAGGAUAACAAUAAUAUUUUUUGAUAGAUGAGUAUUCUUUUAGAUUUUUUUGAUCAAUAGUUGUAUUUUUUAAAUAUAAUUCUCAAAAAUUCUAUUUUAGGAAAGUUUUCAAUUUUUUUUAGAAAUGUUGUAGAUUUGGGGUUGUGAUUUAGAAAUUAGGAUGACAAUAAUUUUUGUUGAUAGAUGAGUAUUCUUUUAGAUUUUUUUGAUCAAUAGUUUUAUUUUUUAAAUAUAAUUUUCAAAAAAAAUUUCAUUUUUUCAUAGAAAUAUUGUAGAUUUGGGGUUGUGGUUCAGAAAUUAGGAUAACAAUAAUUUUUGUUGAUA